AACGAACGCUGGCGGCAUGCCUAACACAUGCAAGUCGAACGAGACCUUCGGGUCUAGUGGCGCACGGGUGCGUAACGCGUGGGAACCUGCCCUUAGGUUCGGAAUAACUCCCCGAAAGGGGUGCUAAUACCGGAUAAUGUCUUCGGACCAAAGAUUUAUCGCCUUUGGAUGGGCCCGCGUUGGAUUAGCUAGUUGGUAGGGUAACAGCCUGCCAAGGCGACGAUCCAUAGCUGGUCUGAGAGGAUGAUCAGCCACACUGGGACUGAGACACGGCCCAGACUCCUACGGGAGGCAGCAGUGGGGAAUAUUGGACAAUGGGCGAAAGCCUGAUCCAGCAAUGCCGCGUGAGUGAUGAAGGCCUUAGGGUUGUAAAGCUCUUUUACCCGGGAUGAUAAUGACAGUACCGGGAGAAUAAGCUCCGGCUAACUCCGUG
rnacentral:rRNA from 1 species